UAUUUAUGGAAAAAGCAUUUCCAAUGAAAUAACGUUCCAGCACAAACAGUGCCGUUGAAACUUACAAGGUGUUAGCGUCGGUCUGAUGACGUGCUCUCCUUGAUGUAUGCUAAUUAGACACUGUGGUGCUAACUAGCUAGCAUUAGCCGCUAAACUACUGUAAGAACUAUUCCGUAGUCUACGUCCAGAGUCCACGCGAAGAACUAGAACCAGACACUUUCUAGCCCAGUGGCGUCACAUUACUUGCACUAUACUUAUGUAUACAGUACAUUAUUUUAACGGAACACGAUUGUAAUCAGUCGGAUCCAGUAGAACCCGCUGCUCCUGCGUGAUACUCCACCCGUCGUCACGGCCGCUGUCGCCAGGUGCGCGUCACGUGUGGGUCGGUACCGCUGGUCACCUGUUGGACCGGAGUGUGGAGCCGCAUGUUGGCAUGAUCCAUCCUGUAACCGAGCUGUACCGAGUUCAAAACCAGCUUGAGCUCCUGUGAAGGAACCAGUAACACGCGUUUGGGAAACCUGCUUGCUUCGUGCUGCCUCUCGGGUUCGGGGUGACCCUGGACCGGAUCGUUCUCAGGAGGAUGCAGCAGUUCGGCGCGACAAGGUUCCGGGUCCUUGAGGGAGAACGGCUCAACUGUGAUCUUUAUUUCCCCUCGAGACCCCAAACCGCCUUUCACUCAGCUCCGCGUAAAGAGGCUCCCUUCGUCCCCGGGGCAAAGGAGCGGCACCGGCCAAAACGAAUCGGGCCUCACCAGCUUCUGGCAGGAGGUGCAGAGAUUGCCUACCAGUAAUUUGCUUACGGGUUCUGAACUGCGUGCUAAAUUUGCCCACGGUUCCGUUUCUCCGCC
rnacentral:lncRNA from 1 species